GUGGAUUCUGCAAAAUCCACGGAUUUUGUUGAGUCCACAGUCCACGGAUUCGCUUUUGUGAUUCACAAAGGUGGACUCGACCGAAUCCACGGAUUCAACCAAGUCUAUUACGUCACGAUUUCGAGUCAACUGUUUGGGGUGGUCUGAAACAGUGGACUCCACAGAAUCCGUGGAUUCUAGGCGUAAUUGGCCAAUCACAGCGCAGCAUUUGGGUAUAUCUUUGUGCAGACAACAACCGCUGGACGAUAAUUUUGCAGCAAAAUUUAAGGUGGAAGACUGGACGUGAAAGUGGUGGAAAAAAUACAUGCUGGACCGAGCUCCGAGAAAAAUUAACAAAAAUGGCAGAAAAUCACCGUGCUCAUUUAAUGCAUCUUGAUAGUGUCAACAGCCUCAGAGAGAUAGCCAACAGGCCCAGACCCUGAUGGGAUUACAGAAAUGAAUGAAUCCUUUUGAGUUGUACAUGGAUGAAGCCUUUCGAAUGCGG